rnacentral:rRNA from 1 species
GAUGAACGCUGGCGGCGUGCCUAAUACAUGCAAGUCGAGCGAACAGACGAGGAGCUUGCUCCGCGCACGUGAGCGGCGGACGGGUGAGAAACACGUGUAUAACCUACCUAUAAGACUGGUAUAACUUGGGGAAACCGGAGCUAAUACCGUAUAAGAUAUUGAACCGCAGGGGUCAAUAGUGAAAGACGGUGUUGCGGUCACGUAUAGAGGGAUACGGGCCGCAUUAGCUGGUUGGUAAGGUAACGGGUUACCAAGGCAACUAGGCGUUGCCGACCGGAGAGGGGGAUAGCCGACACUGGAGCUGAGACACGGUCCAGACUCCUACGGGAGGCAGCAGUAGGGAACGGUCCGCAAUGGGCGAAAGCAUGACGGAGCAGGGCCGCGUGAGUGACGAAAACCCUCGGUUCGUGAUACCCUGUUACUAGGUAAAAACAAAUGUGUCAGGAGCUAAGGCCGUAUUGACGGUACCGAGUCAGAAAGCCCCGGCUAACUACGUG